GACGAACGCUGGCGGCGUGCUUAACACAUGAAAGUCGAACGAAGUGGCGAACGGGUGAGUAACGCGUAAUCAACCUGCCCUUCAGAGGGGGACAACAGUUGGAAACGAUCGCUAAUACCGCAUAAUGAAGGUGGGGUUUGCGUCUGAUUAGCUAGUUGGUGGGGUAAUGGCCCACCAAGGCGAUGAUCAGUAGCCGGUCUGAGAGGAUGAACGGCAACAUUGGGACUGAGACACGGCCCAGACUCCUACGGGAGGCAGCAGUGGGGAAUCUUCCGCAAUGGACGAAAGUCUGACGGAGCAACUCCGCGUGAGUGAUGACGGCCUUCGGGUUGUAAAGCUCUGUUAAUCGGGACGCGGUACCGGAAUAGAAAGCCACGGCUAACUACGUGCCAGCAGCCGCGGUAAUUC
rnacentral:rRNA from 1 species